rnacentral:rRNA from 1 species
AACGAACGCUGGCGGCAGGCUUAACACAUGCAAGUCGAGCGCCCCGCAAGGGGCGCGGCCGACGGGUGAGUAACGCGUGGGAACGUACCUUUUGGUUCGGAACAACUCCGGGAAACUGGAGCUAAUACCGGAUAAGCCCUAACGGGGAAAGAUUUAUCGCCGAAAGAUCGGCCCGCGUCUGAUUAGCUAGUUGGUGAGGUAACGGCUCACCAAGGCGACGAUCAGUAGCUGGUCUGAGAGGAUGAUCAGCCACACUGGGGCUGAGACACGGCCCAGACUCCUACGGGAGGCAGCAGUGGGGAAUAUUGGACAAUGGGCGCAAGCCUGAUCCAGCCAUGCCGCGUGAGUGAUGAAGGCCUUAGGGUUGUAAAGCUCUUUUGUCCGGGAAGAUAAUGACUGUACCGGAAGAAUAAGCCCCGGCUAACUUCGUG